CCAGACUCCUACGGGAGGCAACAGUGGGGAAUAUUGCACAAUGGGGGAAACCCUGAUGCAGCAACGCCGCGUGGGUGAAGAAGUAUUUCGGUAUGUAAAGCCCUAUCAGCAGGGAAGAAGAUGACGGUACCUGACUAAGAAGCCCCGGCUAAAUACGUGCCAGCAGCCGCGGUAAUACGUAUGGGGCAAGCGUUAUCCGGAUUUACUGGGUGUAAAGGGAGCGCAGGCGGCGCGGCAAGUCAGAUGUGAAAGCCCGGGGCUCAACCCCGGGACUGCAUUUGAAACUGCCGUGCUGGAGUGUCGGAGAGGCAAGUGGAAUUCCUAGUGUAGCGGUGAAAUGCGUAGAUAUUAGGAGGAACACCAGUGGCGAAGGCGGCUUGCUGGACGAUAACUGACGCUGAGGCACGAAAGCGUGGGUAUCGAACAGGAUUAGAUACCCCAGUA
rnacentral:rRNA from 1 species